rnacentral:rRNA from 1 species
GAUGAACGCUGGCGGCGUGCCUAAUACAUGCAAGUCGAGCGAACAGACGAGGAGCUUGCUCCUCUGACGUUAGCGGCGGACGGGUGAGUAACACGUGGAUAACCUACCUAUAAGACUGGGAUAACUUCGGGAAACCGGCGCUAAUACCGGAUAACAUGUUGAACCGCAUGGUUCAACAGUGAAAUACGGUCUUGCUGUCACUUAUAGCUGGAUCCGCGCCGCAUUAGCUAGUUGGUAAGGUAACGGCUUACCAAGGCAACGAUGCGUAGCAGACCUGAGAGGGUGAUCGGCCACACUGGAACUGAGACACGGUACAGACUCCUACGGGAGGCAGCAGUAGGGAAUCUUCCGCAAUGGGCGAAAGCCUGACGGAGAAACGCCGCGUGAGUGAAGAAGGUCUUCGGAUCGUAAAACUCUGUUAUUAGGGAAGAACAAAUGUGUAAGUAACUAUGCACGUCUUGACGGUACCUAAUCAGAAAGCCACGGCUAACUACGUG